UCGGGAAUUUUGGGCAAUGGGCGAAAGCCUGACCCAGCAACGCCGCGUGAAGGAUGAAGUAUUUCGGUAUGUAAACUUCGAAAGAAUAGGAAGAAUAAAUGACGGUACUAUUUAUAAGGUCCGGCUAACUACGUGCCAGCAGCCGCGGUAAUACGUAGGGACCAAGCGUUGUUCGGAUUUACUGGGCGUAAAGGGCGCGUAGGCUGCAAUUCAAGUCAUCUGUGAAAUCUCCGGGCUUAACUCGGAACGGUCAGAUGAUACUGCUUUGCUAGAGUGCAGAAGGGGCAAUCGGAAUUCUUGGUGUAGCGGUGAAAUGCGUAGAUAUCAAGAGGAACACCUGAGGUGAAGACGGGUUGCUGGGCUGACACUGACGCUGAGGCGCGAAAGCCAGGGGAGCAAACGGGAUUAGAUACCCGGGUAUCCCUGAGCGG
rnacentral:rRNA from 1 species